CCUACGGGAGGCAGCAGUGGGGAAUAUUGCACAAUGGGGGAAACCCUGAUGCAGCGACGCCGCGUGAGUGAAGAAGUAAUUCGGUAUGUAAAGCUCUGUCAGCAGGGAAGAAAAUGACGGUACCUGAGUAAGAAGCCACGGCUAACUACGUGCCAGCAGCCGCGGUAAUACGUAGGGGGCAAGCGUUAUCCGGAUUUACUGGGUGUAAAGGGAGCGUAGACGGGAGUGCAAGUCUGGAGUGAAAGGCGGGGGCUCAACCCCCGGACUGCUCUUGAAACUGUACGGCUGGAGUGCAGGAGAGGUAAGUGGAAUGCGUAGUGUAGCGGUGAAAUGCGUAGAUAUUAGGAGGAACCCCAGUGGCGAAGGCGGCUUACUGGACUGUAACUGACGUUGAGGCUCGAAAGCGUGGGGAGCAAACAGGAUUAGAUACCCUGGUAGUC
rnacentral:rRNA from 1 species